GAGAGACUCUUAUCACCUUGGAUCGUAAUGAAGUUUUAAGAGUUCAAGUUAAACCCAUAAUGAAAUUUUAGGAAUCACAAUAGUUUAACAUUGGAUGGCAGAGCCACAGAGGAAGAGUAGUGUACAUCAAUCACAUUAUCAUAGAUUGAUUACGUUUCCUGUUGGGUUAAUCGUGACCAACAUUACCAAUUUGGAUGGGGUGGGGAGGAGAGAUAUUUUGGAAAGGCAUUUUUAUUAACAAAAUAAAAAAAAAGAAGAGAGGGAGAAAAAGGCAACUGAUAUUUUUUGUCUUUCCCCAAACCCUAUUGUGUUAUGAAAACACAAAAAAGCCAAACACAACCAUCGCCCCUUUUCGUUUACUGAAAACUCACUACAAACAAACAAACAGCACCAUAAAACCCAAAAGCAAAUAUUUCUUCCAAAUCAACAUCCGCCGGCUACUAAACACUUUAAGCAUCUGCAACUUCCGGUGACUCUCCCGCCGCCAGUAGCAACUCUUCCUCUUCAAGUCCAACCUUUCUUUCUCCCAUCUCUCCUUCAUCCCCAAUGCUGUUCGCCUCUCCCAAUGACUUUAGUGCCAAGUGUGCUGCCUUCUGCCCUGAUAUCAUCAUCGCCCCGAACGUUGGCCCCUAUGAAUGGCACAGUUUAAGACUAAUAAAUAUGGGUAUAACGAAAUCUUUCGGUGGUAGCAUCUAAUGCAGAUAGCUACCGGAGUAAACAAGUUAGUAGUGAUAGACCCAGAUAAACUCUGAAAAGUGUAAACUCAUCUAAAUGCUGCUAUAUUUUACUGUAUCAUGAUUAUUAAACGGUCUAAAGCAAUAAUCUCUCUCUAGUUAAUUUGUUUACCAUUCUUGGAGCUCCAUCGAUCUCCGCAACCUCCAUGCCGGUGACAAUCAUGCCAGGAACGACCUCUCGAGUGAAUCGAACAAUGGCAUCCUCAGCAGUGUUCAUGUCAAGGGCCUUCAUUCCCGGGACACUAUCAAUCAUGCCGAUGCUCUUGAGGCGCUUGACUCCGGUAGCGCCAAAAGGUCCAUCGUGGCCACAAGAGCUCACAACCACCUUAGCCUCCAUCACAUUGGGGUCCAUGCAGGACUGCGUGUCAUGGUUCAUUGACACAAGAGCCCAGUUGGUGACAACACCGCCAACUCUGCCGCCCUUGACAAUCAAAUCCUCUGCCGCCACGGCGUUGAACAGCUUCACGUUCGGCCGGGCCAAGAGCUUGCUCAUGAUCGUCGACGUGAACAGAGCCGCGUGCUUUAUCACGACAUAGUCGUCUUGCUCGUCAUACUCCACACCCACCUCAUCCAAGAACAAAUGAGCUGGCUUACGAACCACCUAUCAAACAUUAAAUUUAACCAACAUCAAUCAGAUGAACAAGAUCAGAAUAUUUGUCUGCGAUGAAAAUUAAUCUAAUUUUUUAGGGGAUCACAAGAUCUGUAAACUAUUUCCCCUCAAAUUAAUGAUUAUGAUAUUAGUUUCUGGGUUUCUUUAUUUCUGAUCUCUAUUAAAAAGAAAUGAUUUUUUUUAGUCCAAAUACGGCAUGCAUGAAAGCUGAUUGGGUGAUUUUCAAAAUUUUGGUAUUUUCAAGAAAAGAACAAAACAUAAAAUAAAAACAGAGCAUCCAUUCAAAUUUGGAAAGUGAACUUGUUACCAUAGCAGAGAAGAGUUGGCCGCCGAGCCAUGCACCGCCACCGGGGCUGACGGAUUGUUCGAUGAUGGCAAUACGAAUAUUGGGGUUUUUGCUGAGUUCGUAAGCGCAAGAGAGGCCGGCGGAGCCAGCGCCGACGAUGACAACGUCAGUAUCAGCGUAGGUGAUCAUAUCGGUCAUGUAUCGACGGGUCAUCUCUCGAGAGACAAUAGAUUCUCUGAUAGGGUUGAAUUUGAAUUGGUUUAAAUCGUAGGGAGGCUGAGAGGCGGAGGCAGAGAUGGUGAGGGACGUGGCGGCGGUGGAUUUGAGGCGGAGAGAAGAAGGAGAGGCGAGAGGUGUGCCAUGGAAAGAGGAAUCAUGAAGUAAAGAAGGUUUUUGGAGCUUGGUGGUGAGAGUGGAGGCAAUGGAAGCCAUUUUUGAAGCAGAGGAAAACAGAGGAGAUUGUAGUUUGGUGUGGGGAAGAAGAGGGGAAGGAAGAAGGGUUUUAUAGAGGAUAUUGAAGAAUGUAACAAUAUCUUACACGCUUGCAUGUAUGAUGCAUACAUUACCUAUGCAUGUAUUUCAAACAUUGAUGCAUAUAAUCGAGAUUUUCAUUUAUCCAUGUAUUUCUCUUUUUACUUUUUUUAACAUAUGAUAUAUUAAACAUAGGUUUAGCAAUAAGUAACUAAAAUUAGUGUUAUUGUAAUAAAAUUACAUUAAUUUUGAUCAUAUUUACUUACACAUUUUACAAAUGUCUUAUCCAAAUAGUUCACUUUAUGUUGUCUUCUUACUAUUGCUCUUAUUAUCAAGGGUCAACAUAUUUAUAAUUCUCUUCUUCUAAUAGUAACACCAUAAUAUCCCCUAAUGAGUUGCAUGUAAUUUCAAAUGCAUUUAGAGAUUGGUCAUCUUAUCUCUAUAAUUAGAUUGCAUUACAAAUUUGUUUGUGAGGACACCAUUUUUUCUACAAUUACAGAAUAAAUGUAAACAACAAACCUAAUUAAAUGAGACACCCUUUUCAAAUUCUCGUUUGAUUGGUUACAUUUUCCGAGUGUAUAGUCACUCUAAUUUUAUACUGUUGCAACCAAUCCAAAACCAAAUCAAAUUAAUUGACUUUAUUAAAUAGAGAACCAAAGAUGCCCAAUAGAAGAUAGAAUCUUUUUUUUUUUUUUUUUUUUUUUUUGGGUUUCUAACCAAUGGAGUCUUCUUUUCUUUCAACUUUUACUUUGAAUGGGUUACCUUUUUUUACCAUUUUUAUAGAUAAUUAUGAAAAAAGAAGUAUCCAUUGGCAUAAUAUUUGAGUUUAUUAUCACUACAGUUUUCAAGCGAUACGCUUUCUAUCCAAAUUGAAAUGGUUGGAUUUUGAUUGAUUUCUUGAUAAAAGUUCAAACCAAAAGAAUAAACUUUUUUAUUAUCUCUAAAUAAUAAAAAAAAAAAAACCCCAAUCAAAACAAGAAAUGAACUUGAUUGAAUUUGAAUUUGUUUUGUUUUUAUUUUCUUGAACUCGAGUGUAAGGAGUAUCCAAAAAUUAGGGUAAGAAAAGUUCAAAUAUUUGUUAAGUUGGGAAGAGAGAAAAUAUCUGGAAGGGGACACGUGGGAAGAAGAUAGGAAAUGAAGGGCUGAGAAUGAGGUGAUGGUGUUGGACACGCGGCAUCCAUGGCAGCCAUUUGUUAUUUCUUUUCUUUUUCUUUUGCCAAAAUGAGAUUUUUUUUUUUCUUUUUCCCAAUAAUAUGAUAUGUUUGUUGAUUUGCAAAAUAUGGAUUUGUGAUUGUGAAUCAUGAUAUGUCCGUUUCUUUCGUCAAGAUAUUUCACAUAAUCUUGUAAAAGAAAGAGAUGUUUAUAUAUAGGCCACUCAUUUUGCUUUUUACUCUUUAAACCAUUGCUACACAUUUUAAUGCGUCUUUUCAAAUAAUAAUAUUUAUGUUUAUUAAUCAUUGAUAUUUUUUUGUAUCUACUUUAAACAAGAUUAAGUAUAGAGAAAAUACAUUUACAUAAGGAAAUAUUUACAAAUUAGGAUCUAAAUGUAUUCUAUUUCCCUAAUUUAAACAACUAUAUAAUUUACGAUCACACUCUUUCUCAAACUCAAGGCGGUAAUGUAGCAAUCAACUUGAGUUUGUUAACCAAUUGAAGAAAAUGGCUAGAAGCCAAAGCUUUAAUGAAGAUAUCAACUGGUUGUUCAGUGUCGAAAUGGAGUGUAAGAGAAGAUUGGUGCUUCGAAGAUUAUGACAAACAAAAUGAUAAUCGUUUUUAAUAUGGUGGGUACUCUCGUGGAAGACAUCAUUGUGAACAAUAUGCAUGGUAUUAUAAUUAUGUCUUUAUACCCUUCUCUCGGCUCAAGCCUUUACCACACUCUUUUGUCAAGUUGCAGUUGUGCAGAGAAAUCUCAACGCACUUAGUAGUUACUAUGAAUUUCACUACGCAUAAUGUGUCUUCCAAUGCUAGAUCACAUAAAACGCAAAGGGUAUUCUAUACCAAAUCACAUAGUAGGUAUGAGAGACAUUUCAUACUAGAUCACACAACAAGUAUGAGUCAUCCUAUUCAAUAUCACACAAUAUGAAUAGGGCAUUAUACUCCAGAUCACACACUAGAAAUAGGGCAUCUCAUCUUAGAUCACACAGCAAGGACAAAACAUUCUAUCGCAUAGGGUACAAAAAUUAUCUUUUUCUAGGAAACAUUGAUUUCUCAUUUUCAUGUAAUACUAGCAUCAUCAAUAGCACAUGCCACAUAGUUUAACGUAAUUGCCUUAAAGGGACUUAAAGAGAUUGUUUUCAAGCAUUUCUUUUCAUUUGAAGGUUAUUCGAUAAGAUACUUUAUUAUGUACUCAAUCACCUUUUAUUAGUUUCAUAAUGAACCAAAUUCAUACAUAAGUCACACAUGUUUAUGGGAGUUGAAAAAGUAUAAGGAAAUCCAUGUAAACAAAUUUGUAAUAACGAUAGUUUUAAGGGUUCAAACAUAUUAGAAAUCCCUUUAUAUAUUUGAAAACAUUUGCAAGGGAGGAAAACCACUCACUGCUGCAGUGAGCUAGCUCUUCCUUCUAGCUUCCUUGACCAAGAGUUCUCCUGUGCUUUUCAGAUUCCUUGAAGGAAUGAGUUUUUCCUGCACCUUGAGACUUUGGUUAUCCUCCCCGUUCUCUCUUAAGAAACUUAAGGUAAAAACGUCUUCAGUUCGGUCUAAAAUCCUCAAUUUAUAUGUCUCUCUGGUGAAUUUUUUCAUGUCGAAAUGAUUACGCUUUACCGACGGUGAGGAGUGGCCUAAUCUCGAAAUGCCAUGUAUCUCUGUCCAAUCCUUAUCCUGAUCUAGAUUGGGUGGCGAGUCCAAUCAAUCAUCGACCUACUAACAUUAGGGUCACAUCACUGUUUCUUGAUGAGGUAGGUCAGAAUUGUCCAACUGUUCGACGCAUAACCUUCUUUGCAUGGGGACUUUCUAUUGCAUGAUCCUUUAGCGAGGCAUGGUUUACUAUCAGAAGUCUCUUUGCAAAACAUUCUUACCGCAAGGGAUUCCUUGUAUUGGGGGUACGCAAUCAGGGCCUUACACGCGAUUAGACAUUUUCCUUUAAAACACUAACCUUAUCUUCUUGGAGUGCUCAAUUCUUUAUCGCUUGACUCUCUUCUCGAAAAACAAUAGAACAUUUACUUUACCUCAUACGGUUGUCUAGUCAUCUCAUACAAACAUCCAUCCUUUCAAUAGAACACCUACUUCAUCGCAACAACACUUAGGUGCAAACACUUCUCCUCGAGUUACUACAUAGGACAUCUAGUUCUUUGCGUUAAAUGCAUGUUUCUUCUUUCCUAGCUAAUCAUCGCCUUGCUUCAAGGCAAUAGUUACUAUAAGUAUCUCUCGUUGUGUCACCUCUCCUUAAAGGCACCCUUCAUCGCAUAAUGCUUUUUACUUACAUUUAACUAAAAUGACUCUUAUUAACAGGGCUCCUCUUCAACAUGACUCACUUUCUCCAGAUUAGAGCCUCAAGUGGACUAUUGAGGUACUCUCAUAUCCGUAAGGAUCCAUGGAAGUCAUGAUAGUUAUAAAGUAGCAUUAGCAGAAGCCCAAUAUUAUGAUUUAGUGCUGGAAAAGAAGACAACAUUUUGCUUUUUACCCUACCAUGAUAUUAUGGGAUUACUUAAAUAGAAGGAAUAAAUGAUGGUGGAGUGUCGAUCAUUAGGAUCAUCAACCCAAUCAACAUCAAAGUACCCAGAUAACACCAGAGGUGUCGAGAAGAGAAAUGAAAUCUAUGUCUCAAAGUACCUUUGAGGUAGUGAAAAAUGUUCCAUCAACUUACUAACAAUGUGCACAACAUAUGCAACGUUAGGACGAAUCACUAUCAGAUAAAUGAGGAUGCCAAUAAGUUGCCUCUAAAGAUUGAUAUCAUCAAGAGGAAUACCCUCUUACGGUGUCAAGUGGACAUUGGGAUCAAGAAGUGUUGGUGUCUUGAUGGAGUAAAUGAUACGGAGCAGGCUAAUAGAUCAGAGACAUUUGGCUUGAGAAAACAAGUAACCAUCAAGACAUGUUGAUACCUCAAAAACAAGAAAGUAAUUAAGAGAGUUUAAGUCUUUCAUUUGAAUAACUAAGAUCAUGAUAUCUACCGUUGCAACACUAAGAUAGCCCGAGGAUCAUCACCACUGAUAAUCUUGUCCAAUACCAUGAAGAAAAAUUAGAGAAUUUAUGACGGAAGAGUUUACAAGUUUUUUUUUACAAAAUGUAGUUCCAAAUUAUUGUAUGAAUAAGUGCUUGCGAAAAGAACUUCUAAUUUUUUGGAGGGAAAGCCGUUUUCUUCAAAUAAGAUGUCUUGAAACUUGUGGUUUGUUAACAACAAACAUAUUAUAUUUACAUAGUAAAGUUUUUAAAAGGUUAUUAAAUAAAAUUGUUAUUGAACAUGAAUGAAUUGCUUAUUUCAUAAUAGAAAACCAUAAAUCUAAUAAACUAAGAUCUAUGGUUAUGAGUACGAGUACUUGAACUUUAUGUAAUAAUGUAAGAAACUCCCAAUGAAGUGAGAACUAUGUUGGGUGUUGGCCUCAUCUUCUAACGGGAGAAGUCGUCCAGAAAUGGAUUGUGAAAUUUGUGAUGGAGACAACUCCCAAUGAGCCAAAGGAUGCCAUUGGGAACUCGUCCCAACCCUCGACGACAUUCAUUAAUAAGGCGAAGAUGAUAUGAACUGAUUUUGGCUUGAUCCAGGUAGGUCCAAAAUGCUAGAUAUUUAUUAAUUGAUUAACUAGUUUCUUGAUUGAGUCUAAUGAGUACUGUGUAACUAAUAGUAAUAGUAAUGAACCAAUCCUAUAGAUUAAAAUCAAGUAGGUUUUGCAUGAAAAUCCCAUAAUUUUAUAACAUUAUCAAAAGCUUUGAGUUGAAAAUGGAUAGUAGGAAUAGAUAUGUUAUCAAUCCAAGUGAUAAUUUGGUGAUUCUUACUGUCUCAAUCUUUUCGUCAUUUAACAAACAUACUAUCAUCUUUCUUGUCCAAUGUAGUUUGUUUAGCAACAUCACCAAUGAAAAUUUUCCGUAGUCUAUGUUCAAUUAAAAAAAAUUCGUUUGAUGGGUUCAUGCAUUUAAGAUAAUUGGUCCCAUCAACAACAGUACUAAUAGAACAAAAAAUGUGAUUUUUUUCAUUAAGGACUGAACAUAAAUUAACCACCAAAAUACACAACAAGAUUGAAAACAAACAAAUCUAAGUUAAAUCACAACGAGCAGAGACUAAAGUGCCAAUGAUCAGAAUAGGUGCAGGACCAGUUAGAAGCUGGAAUGAGUAGACGUAGAAUAUGUUUAGAUAGUUAUGAUAUAUUAUUUAAUUUAAACACCAGGUGUUUGUGAUUAUAUUUAUUUUUUCACUGAAAAGACACCAUCAUAUGAUUGGAGAUAUUUUCUUUUCACUUAUAUACAAUCAAUUAAUGAAUGAAAAAUAUGGUGUUAAUUAACAAGGUAUUAGUUGUGAAGUAUUAAAUAAUGGUAAAAAUUGAAACAAAUUUGUUUUGUAUUUUGGUAGAAGAGAUAUUAUUAAAUUGAGAAGGGGUAUAUCUGCUAUCACAGUCAUGAAAAAGAGAGAAAUUAAAGUGGCGAUGGGUAGCUACAUCACAUCUCAACUUGCUCCCCUCCAUCCACUAUUUUUCGUCUUCUUUCUUCUUCGACGUGAGGAUGAACUAUCAUUGGAUUUAGAGGUGGUCCAUACAACUUCAAGAUUUUUUUGGUACCAAAAUCACUUUAUAAAUUAUAGUCUAAACCAUGUUACUCUACUUUUUUUUUUUUUUCUAACAUCUCCCUCCUUUCAACAAUAUUUUUAUUGUAUCUUACAAAAAUAUAGAAGAAUAAAAUAUCACUAAUCUACUUACAAUAUAAAUAUAAUAGACAAUAGAUAUGUAACGAAAUAUUUAUGGAGAAUUAUUGUCAAUUGCAAACGUUGUGAAAAUAUUUAGAAAGUUUAGCAAGAUCUAUAUGUGAGAUUUUUCUAUAUUUUUUAAGUAUUUUUAUUUAUUUUGCUAUAUUUGAAAUGAAUACAAGGUUUAUUUAGUGAUUUAAAUUAAAUUUUUUUAUUUUUAUAGUUUUUCUAGAAAUGUUCAACCAUAUAGACUAAAUUUAUGUAAAAUUAGCACUUUCAUAUUUUUGUAGAUAUCAACAUUUUAAUCCUUCAUUUUAAGCAUGAGAUUUAACUAAUCAUGUAUCUAUAUUUUAUUAUUUUAUGUUCUAUUUUAGAUUUGUACUCUCUUCUGCAUUUUCAAUAAAUCAUAAAUUAGUCCUAGUUUACUAUAGUAAAGCUAAUUUUUUUAAAAAAUAAUAUAGCAAAAAAAAAUUCUCUAACCAAUGCAAAAAAAUCCAAAAUAUCUAGCUUACUUCUCUCAACCAUGAUCAUUGUCAAUACCUAAUAGACAUUGAUAGUCUAUUAUUACUAUUUAUGAUAGUCUAUUACUCUAGAGUGUCUAUAACUGAAUAGUUGGUUGUUAAUAAGAAAGUUGAUGAUGAUUGUUCUUAAUCUUAUGCUCCUUAAUUUGGUUUUAAGGAAUUAGUUGUCAUUUAAUAUUUAUUGAAAAUAUAUAUUGUUAUUGGGAGAGAGCAAUUUUGAAAGUAUUCUCUAGACUUAAGCAUAUUAAUUUCUUCUUACUCGAAAAGAUAAAAGAAAACAUGUGUAUUUGAAUUAUCUUAAAAACAUUAAGAUCUAGGGAUUAAAAGAAUGCAAGAGCUUGCAUUGAUGGUGGUACACAUGUGUUCCCUACACCUCAAAAUCAACCAUCAUCUCAAGUAGCUCAAAAGGAAAUUAAAGGUCGAAGCUAUAGAGUAGCAAGAAGGAGCUGAGUAUUAAAUCAUUUUGGGUUGUAUAUAUACAUAAUAGAAAUCACUCCAACUCAAUUCAGAAGACGUUUGAAACCAAGAAUUUCUAACCUAAAUUUCAUUAGCUUAUUUGACAUCAUUAGUCCGCCAUCUAAAGUCAUGGCUUAUUCAUCUAUAAAUAUAAGCUACCUACAACUUUUGAGUUGUAUAACAAAAUUUUAAGAGAUUAAGGGAUCAAGUUUAGAGAUUAAAAUUGAAUAUUUUUUAAAGUUUAGAGACCAAACUAAAAUAAGAUUCAAAGUUCAAUAGGGGAAUAUCAAAUUUAAACCAAACUAAAUACGUUUUUUACAUACUGAUUUGUAUUUAUUUUUUAAAUAACCAAAACAUUUUCAUAGUGGGUUUGAUGUAAACCAAAUUGGAGAGUUUUACUAAUGUUUAAAAGUUGUUAAUAUAAGAAGAAAAGUACUCUAUUUAUAGCAAACUGUUAAAUGAAAAUUUUGAGUAAACAAGUAUUUACUAUUAUUUUAUUCAACACAUACAUUUCCACAUUGCUAAGAAGUCUCCUUUAUAAACUCAUAGAUCCGCUCAUGGGUUUGGGCCCUAAAGACACUCAAGUUUUGGAAGGAGUGAGUAGAUAGUUAAAUGUAGAUAUGCUUAUAUCUCCACGUGCACCACCACUGCCGUCUGUCGAGUGAGGCGAGGAGGAAUAAAAUAAUAAUAUAUAUAAUUUUUGGUAAAUUAAACACUUUCCAAAGUCGAAAUAAUAUCCAAAUUAAAUGGUAUUUAUCAAUCAAUUUUCUUUUGUGUUUUAUAACCAUUGGUUGCCUCCACACUCACUAUAUAUAUCAAUCUAAUUCUUCUCUUCAAUAUACAGAAAUUAUAUAUAUUAAUGAUGAAUUGGACUCUCUUGAAUUCAAUAGAACUUGGCACCUAGUUGACUUACCUGACCUUAGCUGCAAAGCAAUAGACUGUAAAUGGAUUUUAAGGAAGAAACUCAAACCUGAUAGAUCAAUAUAUAAGUAUAAGGCUAGACUAGUAGCAAAAGGUUUUAGGCAGAGGAAAAACAUAGAUUUCUUUGACACCUUCUCUCCAACCACUGAUUUCUAUAGUUUUCAUUAACAAUCUCUUAAUACAUCAAAUGGAUGUUAAAAACUGCUUUCCCUAAAUGAUGAUUUAGAAGAAGAGAUUUAUAUGGAACAACCUUAAGAUUUCAUAGUUCACCGUUAAGAAUCUAAAGUUUAUAAAUUAGAUAAAUCCUUCUAUGGCCUAAAACAAGCUCCUACGCAAUGACACGAAAAGUUUGACAACUUAAUCAUUUCCAAAGGAUUCAAAAAAAUGAGAGUGACAAAUGUAUUUACUAUACGACUGAAGAUAGAUUAUGCACUAUCAUAUACUUAUACGUAGAUGACAUGUUAAUAUUUGGAUCAAACCUACACGUCAUAAAUUAUGUAAAAUCAAUGUUGAGCACAAACUUUGACAUGAAAGACUUAUAAGAAGAUAAUGUGAUCCUAGACAUCAAAAUUACCAUAACUAAAAAUGAAAUGUUCUUAGAUCAAUCUUAUUACAUAAAAAAGAUCCUAAAGAAGUACAAAUACUUCGAAAGCAAACCAGCUUGUACACCCUAUGACUCUAGUGUUAAAUUGUUCAAAAACACUGCUGGCAGUGUUAACCUAUCAGAGUACGCUAGUAUCAUAGGUAGUUUGAGGUAUGCUGUUGAUUGCACUAGACCAUACGUAACUUACGCUGUAGGAUUACUAUGUAGGUUUACCAGCAAAUCUAGUCUAGAACAUUGGAAUGCUAUAGAAAGAGUAAUGAGAUAUCUUAAGAAAAUACAAAAUAUAAGAUUACAUUAUCAAAAGUUUCCCGCUAUACUUGAAGGUUACAACAAUGUUGAUUGAAACUUUCUCUUAGAUGACUCAAAGGGUACAAGUGGCUAUAUUUUUAAUAUAGCAGGAGAAACUGUUGCUUGAAAAUCCAAGAAACAAACAAUAUUAGCCUAGUCAACGAUAAAGUUAGAGAUGAUAGAACUAGCUACUGCUAGUGAAGGAGCAAACUUGCUAUAAGAGAUUCCCACACGGGAAAGAUUGGUACCGGCAAUACUAAUCCAUUGUGAUAGUACUACAACUAUCGCAAAAGUUCAGAAUCAUUAUUAUAACAGUAAGAGACGACAUAUACGUCGUAAACACAUUAUCAUUAGAGAUUUUCUCACUACUGGUGCAGUGAUAAUAGAUUAUGUUCGAUCUGAUGACAACUUGGCUGAUUCUUUGACGAAAGGACUAGCAAGAGAGAAGGUCUUUAAAACGUCAGAAAGAAUGAGACUCAAAAUUUAUAGAAAAUUUAAUUACUUGUGAGGUAAACCCAACUUGAAAGACUGAUCCCAAGAAACAAGUUUAAUGGGUAAUAACUGAUCACAAGCAAUAUGAUGAAAAUCAUGCUAAAAUAUUAGAAGUUCCAUUCUUAUGAUUGAAUAAUUAGCAUGACAUCCUGAAGUGUAUGAGAAGGCUAAACUUUGUUCUUAAUGAAAUAUAUACUUGAUAUCAAGUAAGGUACCUAGCUACAUAAGUACUCUUGAUAGCUUCACCUUUGUGAAUGUGGAAGUGAGAGUUGCUUCCUUUGGAAUUUUGGACAAAUUCCUAGAACAUUCACUAAACCGGGUUAUACGUGCAAGGCCAUAAAUCACAAGCUAUUUUAGAACUUCACUCGAAUAAUGUUGUGUGGACAAUAGUAUUAGAAGUAAAGUUCAAAACUACAAGUUACUUUACAAUACUCUAAACUGUUGUCACUACUUAAAGGUUCAAGUCAUUAGACACCUUUACUUAAGCACAAUAUUAUAGAGAUAGACACUGAUCGAUGGAAACGUUUUAAAACAAUUUCAAGUGGGGGACUGAUAGUAUGAAUAUUUCAAGUGGAAAAUUGUUAAAUGAAAAUUUUGAGUAAGCAAAUAUUUAUUAUUAAUUUAUUCAACACAUGCAUUCCUGCUAGUAAUGUGGAUGUCUACUUUGUAAACUCAUAGAUCCAUUUAUGGGUUUAGACCCUAAGGGCACCCAAGUUUUGGAAGGGGUGAGGAGAUAGGAAAAUAUAGAUAUACUUAUAUCUCCACGUAUGCGCACCCCGCCAUUGUUGGGUGUGGAGGAAUAAUAUAAUAAUAAUAUAUACUUUUUCUAAACUGUUUUCUUAUUAUAAACAUUUUUGGUAAAUUAAACACUUUCUAAAACUGAAACCGUAUUCAAAUUAAAUGGUAUUUAUCAAUCAAUUUUAUUUUGUGUUUUAUGAUCGUUGGUUGCCUCCAAAUUUACUAUAUAUAUGAGUCUCAUUCUUCUCUUCAAUAUACAGAAACGAUUUCUCUCCCAAAAAAUUUCUUCUGAGCAUAUGAGUGUUUAUCUGAGUGUUGUGAAUUCUGAUUAGUUUUGAUAUAAAACUAAUUGAAGAACGAUGUAUUUUAUCAUGGGGACGUCGAGGCAAUCAAACUGUUUUGGACAAAGGAGCAGAGACGCAAAACGUCUUAAAGAGAGCGAGAUUCGCGACUCAACCAUUUUCUCAAAAGUUUUUGUUUUGUAGUUUGCGUUUUGACCAAGCGUUUGACCACUAGGCGUUUUGAUCAAUUGGCGAGAUAGUCAGUAAGCGAGAUAAGUUGAGGAGGUGAUAACUAGGCGACUUGGUCAGACGAGAUACCAGUACAUUACACGAGAUACAAGGCAAAGAAGCACGCAUUUUGUCUAGACAUUUUGCCUAGGCGUUAAGACUUCUCAUUGCAUCACUCCUUCGAGUCAAAAAGCAACAACACAAACUAAUCCUAAUCCUAAUUAAUAAAAGAAACUAAUCUUUAAUCCUAAUAAAUAAAAGAAACUAAGCCUAAUCCUAAUAGAUUAAGGAUUUUAUCAUAAUAUCCUAUUCCUACUACAUCAUUCUAUAAAAAAAAAAACUCGUCCUUAAGUUUUAAAAUGAAAAUGAAUGUGAAAAUAAUAAGUAAACUAGUCGAAUAAUAUCCCAAUUUUGUGAUACCUAACAAUCAAUUCUAGAACUAAUACGAUAAAGAAGAACUCCAUUGUCAAAGAAUAUGCAGAUUUAUCAAAAAAAUAAACUAUCACUCAUUUUGUAACUGUGAUGAAAGUUCAAUUGUGGUUGAGUUUUUAAUUCUUCAAUAGGUUUCAAUUUGGGUCAAAUAGAUUAUAGUAAGAGAUAACGCGUAAAUAGCAAAAUAGUAAAUAACAAACUAAAAUGUAGCAAAUUUAAGAAAUAUUAAGAUUUAUAUCAAAAACGCCGGUUGCUGAUUUUUUUUUUUUUACUUUUUUAUACCCAAUUAUACUCUUUUAUAUAAGACAGUUUAUUUCUCACAUAUAUACAAUGUAUUUGAAUAGAUCAAAAAAUGAGACAGAAGAUCACAGAUUCACUAGCACAAUGUAUUUGUUAACAACAUUCAACUUUGGUAAGUCUUAACUAAAUAUGAUAUUUUAUUGCUGAAGAAGAUUGCACUAACAUCUCUUAAAAAAUAUGGCUGUAAUUUCUUUUAGAUUUUCGGAUGCUUAGCAUUUAAAUCAAUCAAUUAACAAUUUAUUUCUAUAAUUCAUAAUAGAUAUAUUUAAUAACGAUUUGAAUUCAAAUUUUGGAUAAUACCCCUAAAAUAAUAGUAAAGAUAAAUUCAAUAAUUUGGAUUCUUUAUAUUUCAUACUAUUUAUCAAAAUUUUAUUAAAUAAUAUAUAAUACAUAUUUUUAAUAACAAUUUAAAUUCAGAUUUUAUACCAUCCGCUAAAAUUGUCAAUUUGAAUUUAAAUGUUACAUAAUAUCCCUAAAAUAUUGGCGAGGAAAAAUUCUUAAUAACAAUUUGAAUUUAAAAAUUAAAAUUAAAAUUGUUUAAUUUAAAAUUUAACAACUUAUAUUUAAAAAAAUAUAUAAAACAUUUAUUAAAUAAUACAUGAUACAUAUUUUUAAGGGGAAUUUUUAAAAUAGUAGAUUUUACAAAAUAUUUACAGCUAUAGAAAAUUAUAAUUCUAUCACUCAUAGUCAUUUACAAAAUUUUGUUAUAGCUCAUAAAUAUUUUAAUUUAUUUUGUUAUUUUAAAAAAUGCUUCUAUUUUUAAUAAUAGUUUGAAUUUUAAAAAAAUUAUUCGUGAUAAUUUCUAUUAUCAACUUAUUUUGGUUGAUUUUUAAUAACAAUUUAAAUUUAAAUUUUACAUCAACCCUCUAAAAUAAUGUAAAAAAUGAAUACACCAUUUUUAGGAUUUUUAUAUUCCAAACAAUUUAAUAAUAUUUUAAAUUCAAAUUUUAGAUCCCAAAAUAAUGCCAAUUACGAUUGUCCAUUUAUUUUUACCAAUUUGAUAACAACUUCAAUUUUCUUAAUUUAACCAAAUCAAUUUAAUUUAUUUUUACCAAUUUGAUAAGAACUUCAAUUUUCUUAAUUUAACCAAAUUGAUUUAUUGGUUAAGUUGGUCAGGUUUGAUUGUGUUGAUUUUCUAUAGAGUUACAAUGUACUUAUACAUACUUUCUAGAUUAGUUUCACAAUAUUUGACAUAAUGUAUAGCAUAUGUUGCUCACAAAAUUACAAUGUAAUUUUAUGCUUUUAAAUAAUGUGAUAAACUAGUCGUUCUAUAUUACGAUCACAUGUUCAAAUAUUAAUAUUUAUUUGCUCCUAUAAUAAUGUACUUUUGCAAUUCAAAACAGUUACCAUUAUAAUAAUGUACUUUUAAUUAAUGCGAUAAACUAGUCGUUCUAUAUCACGAUCACACGUUCAAAUAUUAAUAUUUAUUUGCUCCUAUAACCAUGUACUUUUGCAAUCCAAAAAAGUUACCAUUAAGAUAAUUUGUUACAAAACCAACAAUAAGAACUAUUUCCUAAAUAUUGACAUUGAAUCAUAAUCAUGGUUGUUUAAUUAACCGAACUUUAUAAUAACCCAUAGAAUUAAGAUUUUCCAAACAUAGUAUAUGUUGAGUAUGAAUGAUGUUAUAAACAACAAACUUGGGACACAAACAAAAAGUAAAAUUUUGGUCAUCAAGAUAUAGUAUCAUUCCAUUGGGUAUAAGAUAAUCAGAUAUUUCAAAUAGAGUGUAUUUGAAUAGCUCAAAAAAAGAGACAGGAUAUUAAAAAUAGCACGAAAACAAUGUAUUUUGCAAACAACAUUCAAAUUUGGUAGACUUAACUAAAUCUGUUAUUUUGUUGCUCGACAAGAUUGCAGCAACCUCUCCUAUAAUAAUGACAAAUAUAUCUACCAGAUUUUGAGGUUUGUUAUAUUUUAAACCAUUUAUUAGUAAUAUCAGUAAUUAUUACAAUUUCUUAAAUGACCUUAAAUAUAUUUUUUCCUCUCCCUUGUUUCUUUACCAAUUCAUUAAGCAUUAUAUCUUGUAAGUUAAUCACUAAGGAUAGUUUAAUUUUAACAAAUCACCAAUCUUAAAGACAUUUAAGUUGAAAAAUAAAUACUUCCAAAAUAUGUGUUGUUAAUAACAAUUUGAAUUUAAAAUUUUAUCAACCUUAAAUUCGUGGUUGAUGUCCCAAAAUAAUGGAAAACAUAAAUUCAACAUUUUUGGAUUAUUUAUAUUUUAAAAUAUUUAUAAAAAUUUGAAUUUAAAUACCUCAACAAUACAUAUUGUUAAUAACAAUUUGAAUUUAAAAUUUUAUGAUCCCCUAAAAUCAUGCUAAUUGGUUGGUUUUUAUUUUAAAAAACUAUUUUAUCGUGCAAAUUGCAUUGAAUAACUAUGUUGAGACAUUGUGUUUUUAAAUUACGUUAAUAUUCAUGUUUAUCUUCGUUAGAUGUUUUCUUUUUUGUGUUACAGUUUUUGUCAAAAGCUUUCAAAAUGGCUUUUAUGUUUAGGACAGAAUUGUAAUUAUACUUCAUCUCCUUCUUUAGGUCUUAUAAAUUAGAGAAAAGAAAAGAAGUAGGACAAAUAAGAAGAGGGGGCUGCAAGCUAAAAAAACACAGUAGAGAGAGUUUUUUCUAGCAAAAAAGAUUGAUAGAGAAGAGUGCAGUGCGGCGAUUUUCGGUGUUCCAACAUAAAGAGAGACGUUGGUCGACCGAGAGGAAGACGUCAGAGGUUUAGCCAUUGGGUUUUGAGGCAGACAAAAGCUAACGAUUUUGUGGCUUUACAACGGCUACAACGUUUGUUUCGAUAGCUUCGCGAUGGGUUUAACGACUGGUUAACUAUGGUUUUCGAGCUGACAGAGGUUGGUUUAGUCGUGGGUUCUUCUUGGGGCAAUCGACGCAAGUGACAAACAUAGUGAGAGAGAGUUUUUGUGCAAACAAGAGAGGAGAAAAGUACAAUCAACAAAGAGGAAAACAUCACAGUUUCAACGUCAAUGGCGAGAUGAACAUCUCAAAGUCUUUGGUCGGAGGAGGCGGCAAGAUGAAAAUCCUAAAGUCUCCAGUCAGAGGAGCCAACAAGAAGAAAAUCCAAGUAUGAAAACUUUGAUGGGUUUAAAGGAGACGAGUUGGAAGCUCCAAUAGAUUUUGAAAAAGUUUGAUUUUGAUAGGUGUUAAUUGUGUAUUGGGAGUUUGAUUUUAAUAAUUGGGUAUUUAUGGUUCUUUUAAUAAUUGUAUUUAUGAUUCAAUUUUUUCAGUUAGGUAGGAGCACUCGAGACAUUGUUAUAGCAAUUAUUUUUCCAUAUUUUUUCGAUUCGGUUAUUUUAUCAAUUUAAAUAAAAAUUUGUCAUUUAUUCAAAAUAAACCCAAUAUUUUUCUAUUUUUCUGGUCCGCCCUUGUAGUAAUAUUGAGUGGACUUCAAAAUUGAUCUAGGUUUGGAGAUGAUAGGUUGAGCUUGAGAAGACCAAAAUUUUGUUUGGAAUAAAUUGGAUCAUCUGGGUUGGGUUAAGUGAAGGAAAACUGCAGCUGAUGGAUGGAUUAUAUAUGAAACACAGUACAAUAAAUUCUCGAUCUUCCACCGCUAGUUUUAAAUCGUCAGAAGAAAUGGCAUCAGAGAUGUGGUAUCGUCCAACGCACCACCCUAACAUGCCUAAAUUACAAACUACUAGUUCACAUGCCUAAAUUACAUCACAAAAGAAAUAGAAAUAAUAAAUAUACGAAAGGCCAUUAAUUACAAAGAAUAAUAUACAGAUUAUUUUCAUAUAUAUAUGAAAAUAUUUUCCAAUAUCCCCACAAAUUGGUGAUUUGGUUUCUUUGUACGGUUGAACCAUUCUUGCCCCAUGUAGCUUAAUGUUAGACCGUCAAAUCUUUUGUUAGGAUUCCAACCUACCCAGAGGUACUCAAGAAUAAACAGACAGCUCAAGAACAACUAAUUAUGAAAAAAUAUUGUUAGAACUGAUGUCCAAAAGAAUUGUUGUUCCGUGACAAACCACUGUUCUAAAAACAAUUACGGUACAACCAUGGUACUAAACACGAUGUCGGUUGCUUUUCAAGGUUAACACAACUCUUCAACUUAAACGUAUACUUGUUGGAAUAAGGAAUAGAAUCAAGAAGCUAAAUUAUGCCAAGGGAUGAAAGUUGAGAUGAACCGACGAUAAUAAAAGGAGAAAAAAAGAAACGACUAGAAUAAUCCUAUAGAUAUGAUAAACAAAAAACAAAAAGGAGAAUAAUCCUAUCACUAGAAACACACUUUACUUUUACAAUUAGCAUGCAGUGAUAUUUAUACCCUCUACGUAGUACUAAACAGUUCAAUGUGUGGGACAAAAAUCUGUCUUAUCCUUUACUUAUGGGCAUAAGUCCAUAAAUCAUUUCAAUAAAUGCCCGCCAAGUGACUAUUACAACAACGUUAAGAAGUAAACAAAAGAAAACAAAAGUUUUAAGAAAUCUAUUCUGAGCUAAGAUAGGAGAUCAAGAUUAUGCAUCAAUAUAUUGUAAUGAUUUGAAUUGAUUGGUAGUGUUGCAAGACGACUAACAGAGCGAGUGAGUUACAAAGCAAGAUCUCAAAAUUGGGCAGCGAUCCUUCUCAUGCGUUUAAAACACGGGACUCAACUACUAUCUUCCUUGGACUCACAAAUGUCUUCUCUUCAGCCUUGACCCGAAUUGGGGCUUCAACUUCCACUCUUAGACUCUGCCCAAUAAGCAAACCCAUGAGUCCCCAUUUUUCCUUCUUCAUUUCCAUUGACGUUGUUCUUCUGUAAUGAUUAUAGCAACCUUUGCUUAAUUCACCUCCUCUGCCCAUAUAUAAGAUAAUAAGUUUAACAACCCCUUUUAACUUAGCUUGCCCCAAAUGAAAAACUCUUCAAAUAUUAAUCCUAUAAAUCACUAUCUUUCUUAAAUGAAAGAGUGGGAUUCCAGCAAUUCAAGCCUAUAACCCAGCAUGUGGCUAUGGGCCCAUAAUUUAUUUGUCUUCCUUAAAGAGUAACAUUGAGUUUCUACAAAUUGUAGUCCAUAUUCAAGCCCAACAUCCUACUCAAUUUUUCCUUUCCAUAUUCCUCCUCCAAAGUAACGCUUGUCCUCCCUCCCAUUUACAUUUUACUAAGUAAUAACCCACCUUUGGCUGCAUCAAAAUAGAAUAAUGGGCUGUGUUGUGAUUCUGUGAAGUUAAAUUCAACUCUCCCGCAAGCCCUUCGCAUUUGUUAAAACAAUAAAAAAAUUAGUUGUUUUUGUUACUUUGAACUACUGUAACUGAUACUUGUUUGAGAGUGAGUUAUUUUGUUAAAAACAUAAACAAAAUAACAGUUUUAAUUCUUGUAGCUUAAAAAGGAAGCUUAGUAGAAAAAGUGAUGUAAGAAAAACUCAUCUGUAUUUUUUUGGCUUUUUGAAAACAUUUUCAUCUUAAAUAAUCUGUUGAAUAAAAGUGUGCUUGGAGACUUUGAAGAGUUCAUGUAAGCAAAUUUGUUGAACAAACCAUAGUUGUAUGUUCUUCUCAUUCUCUUCGUGCUCCAUUGAUCUUUGGAAGGCCAUUGUUGAAACUCUCAUCCAUCUUUUCUCUCUUGGUAACAUGCAAAACAAAAGGAAGAAAAUAAUUAAUAUACCUAAAGGUAGAGAACGUAGGUUUUGUAAUAAGGGUCAACCAUAAGAAUAUCAAUCUACAAUUUGUCAUUUAGAAAAAUAGCAAAACUGUUUUUUUUUUUCUUUUAAAAAAGGGCAAAACGAAUAAAAAUACAAUAAAUAGAAAUAUAAUCCAAAAUGCCCUUAGAUAUAUAGAAUGCCAGCUACUUUCUAAAGCUAAAAUAAAGUCUAAUUACACUAAUAAAUUCUCGAACAUAAUUAUCCUUACAUGUCCAAUCAAACUUAGAAUCCUUUUAAUCUUCACUUUCUAGCACUCUUGCAGUCAUCUUCAUUUUCCAUUUUCUUUUUCGAUAAUUAUUCAUAUCAAAGUCUUCAAGUUACAUAUUUAAUCUUCAAAUUACAAUUCCAUUAUUCCAUCUUCACCAAGCAGGCAAAACCUAAUCUCCACCCUCCAUUUUGCAAGUUACAAUUCCAUUUGAAGUACUUCAUCCUGCAUUUUUAUCUUCUUGUAUUUAAAACAUAAGAUUUUAUUAACUUCAUAUUUUUCACCAUCUUAAGGAAAAAUAUUUAAUUUAUAUUAGUAAUAUUUUAUAUAGAUUUUAGAGCGGUUUUAUCUAAAAAACGCAACAUUUUUGGGAUAUUUUGUUGGGAUAAAAAAAUAGAAUAAACCAAAAUUCAUUUAAAAAUCCUGAACAAUAGUGUUCUCUAAUAUUGAUUUGAGGUCAAGAUACCAUCCAUUCAAGGUUUGGGAAGUAUAUACUCUUAAGACAACAUUCAAAACGAGGUAUGGGCAAUAUGAGUUUUUAGUGAUGCCAUUCGAUUUAACAAAUGCACCUACAGUUUUCAUAGACCUCAUGAACAAUAUUUUCCAUCAUUAUUUAGAUUAGUUUGUGAUAGUGUUCAUUGAUGAUAUAUUAGUUUACUCAAUUGAUAGGAAAGUCCAUUAGGAAAAUAUGAGGAUUGUUCGAUAGACAUCACGUGAUAAAUAGUUGUAGGCUAAGUUCAACAAAUGUGAGUUCUGGUUGAAACAAGUAGUGCUCUUAGGGCAUGAAGUUUCAACAAACGAAGUUAGUGUUGAUUCGUAGAAAGUGAAAGAUGUUGUCAACUGAGAGAGACGAACUAGUGCAACAGAAGUACAUAGUUUCCUAGGCCUUGCAGGAUACUACAACCAUUUUAUUGAGGAUUUCUCACCAUUUGCAUUACUCUUAACAACUUUGACAAGAAGAAUGCUAAGUUUGAGUGGUCGGAUAAUAUGAGACUUUCCUUUGACAAAUAAUCUCAUCUCCACUAUGUUGAUCUUUUUUAGAUGAACUGUGAGCUUCCUCUGGUACAACAUCCAUAAGCUCACUAAUACUCGAAACACACAGUCUUCUUUUCUUAACUAUGACUUCAUAUAUUCUCAACUCAAACUCUACCUCUGAGCCUUACUUUCAUGACUUUCCAAGUAUAUUAUGUAAGUUACUAUCCUCUAGUUAUCUUCUCACAAUCUCUACUACUAGAGAAGACCUAACCUGAAAUUAAGCUACAAGACUCAUUGUACUCUCUACAGUCAUAGCCCUAUUAAAGCCUCUUAACUCACUUAUCAAACUUGCUCGAAUGCCAUACAAGGCACUCUUUGGAAGUCUAGACUUCAUAUUGAAUGCAUUUGCUACUAUGUUAUUCUAUGGUAUUCUAUGGUACAGUCACAACUUAUAAUCAGUUCUAGCCAUCACCUCUAUCUUAAAUUAAACUCUUUGAUCAAAGAUAUACUUCAGACUCUUACCGAUAUGUAAAAAUGUGGCACACUUCUCAUCGAAUAAAUAAUUUCUCUAGAUUUUCAUUGCUAAAACAACUAGUGCUAGCUCAAGAUCAUGGUUAGGGUAAUUAUAUUCAUUGUUCUUCAACUGUCUUGAAGCUUAGCUAUUAACUUCCCUUCCUACAUAAGGGUAUAACCUAAUCCUUGGGCUCGAGGCGUCACAAUAGAUCAUGUACUCCUUCUCUAUUUCAUGAAGUGUCAUAAUAGAUGCUAUGACUUGAAUCUCUAUCAAAACAAGGCAUCCUACCUGAUGAAACCAGUAAGAAGCUGUCUUUUUGUAAACAUUGUGUGUUAGGGUGAAAGCAAGAAAAAAAUACUUCUCCAAAGCCCAACACACUACUAAAGGAAUCCUUGACUUCAUCCAUUUGGAUCUAUGAAGACUAUCCUCAACUCCAAGCCUAGGUGGCUCAAGGUACAUUUUAUCCUUUACUGGUGAUUUCUUUAGAAAAAGUUGGAUUUAUUUUCGAAAAACUAAAAACGAAGUCUUGAAAAAAAAAAUUAAAAUGGAAAUUGAUGAGAGGAAAACAAAAAGAAAAAGAUAUUAAAUAUCCUAGAACCUAUGAUGGUUUGGAGUUUUGUGGAGAGGAUUUCAGUGCUUUUUGUAUGAAAAAUGGAAUUACAAAACUUAAGACAAUAAGAUACACACCACAACAAAAUGGGGUGGUCAAAAUACUUACAAGAACUAUCGUGGAAAGAGUAACAUUCCCAUUAUCUGUUUCCUGUUUCCUAUUUCCUAUUUCUUGUUUCCUAUUUCUUGUUCCAUGUUUCUUCUUUUUUGAUAACAAGAUACAAGAAUGUGUUUGAUAACUAUUUCUUGUUUCCAGUUUCUUAUUUCUUGUUUUCUUAAUUAUUUCCUACAUUUGUCGACUCACAUCUAAUUCAAUUAAAUAUUAACAAAAAUAUAUGUCGAUAGUUAAACACUUCUUCUCUACCUUGAGGGCAAUGUCUCAUUUCUUUAAAAUCUACCUCACUAACUUUAACGAUAUUUACCAACAAUAAAUCAUUUUUGGAUUUCAACGGUAUUUUGUCAUUUGUAUAAGUUCUAAACAUUUUACACAUUAGCUUGAAUAUGAGAUUGAAAUUGAAAGAAUGAAACUUUCUAUAAAAGUUGAGAUGGAAAACAUCUUUAAUCCUUACAUUUAUAUUUAUACGAAAAAAUACUUAAUACCACCUUUGGUUUUAUAUAUAAAAGAACAAAGACAACCUAAUAGAAAGUUAAAAUGUUUGAAUUUAUACAAAAAUGGUGCUAUAUUCCAAAAUUAUGGUUCAAGAUUACAUUUUUUAAGCUCUUGAAACUCACCAAACAAAGAAGAAAAAAAAGCAAAAAAACAAUAUCCUCAUAUUUUCUUCUAAAAUGUUGGGCCAAACAGAUAAACUUUAGCAAUAAUUUUAGCAUAUAAACUUUAGAUAAAAGAGAAAGAGAACAAAAAGAGAGUCAAAAUCUAAGCAAUCCAACCUCAUUUCAACAUUUAUAAAACUUCAGAUUCAACCAAGAACUUAGCUAAUACAAGAUAAAAAAGAAUGGGAAAUAGAAUGGUAUACUCAGAUGACAAUGGAGAUUAUUAGGUUCGAUUCUGACAGUAAAGUCUCCUCAAUAGAUUUCAGAAGAGGAAGCUCUUUAUCCUCAUUGUAACCCUUCAAGUUCCCAAGAAAAAACUCAAUCGCUCUUUAUACGAAAGUGUAAAAGGAAAAAAACAAAUUUUUCUUGAAGAGUAAAUGGAAACGAGAGAGAAAGACAGAUUCGAAAAGAUCAAUUCUGCAUUCCAAUCUAUUGAGCUUGAUCUUUCAUGAAAUCAUCAAAGCCACUUGUUGUAUAUAAAACCAACAAAGGAAAAUCCAAAGGAAUCCAACCCGUAUGCAUCCUGAACUCGUUAUAUGGUAUGCGACGCGACUGGAGCAACCCCAACACCUCAAAGGAAACGCCAGAAUGCUCAUCAACUUAACUCUUUAAAAAAAAAAUGUACUUUAAAAUUUAGGCGACAAUAACAUCUUAACGCAGUGGAUUGAGUUAAACAACUUCUUUAUUAAUUCAUCUUCAUGCACUCUACAAUACAAUUUACACGCUCCUUAAAUAUAACAAAUAUAUAACAAUAAUCUUAAAACGCCUUGCACAGCUUCACAAUAUGGUAGUUCGCCCUCCUUAUUCCAACCUUGGCCUUACAAGCUGGUGACCUAAGGAAGGAAAAACUUUAAAACGUACGUAAAAACUUAAUGAGUGAUAGUUUUGGAAAACCUUUUUGGACAUAUAAAUACAUGAAAUUAUUUUCAUAAACACGACUUUCAUCACCUCAUUUCAUAAAACAGAAAUACUCAUUAGUCCUUCAUAUUCCUUUCCACCAAGAACAUGAACCAUUCUCAUGCAUAGAUUACUGUGAUGUCCUUUUCAUCAACAUCAUCCUUUGGAGAAUAUAUAUCCUAAUUCAUUUCUCGUUGCUCAAGCCGCUAAGCUCAAUAUGCUCAUUUUACGCAUCGGCCAACUUCACUCCACUAUGCAGUUCUUUUCUACAUGGUUGUCUUUGCUCCUUACGUCCACAUAAUAGUUAGUCCAUUGAGAGGAAUAAGACUAAUGCACACAACAUAGCACACAAUCAAUAACAAUAGGUUUACUUGAAACAAAACACAACUUUCUUAGAAAUCGUUUAUUUCAUAUGAAACGUUACAAGUCAGCUAGAAAUUAUAAGAAAGCUUUAAAAUCUUUAAACAAAAUCAUUCACAACACAAAUUCUGUCUUUAAAACGUGUGGAUUCCCAAAGACAUUAUUCUCGCCUAGUGAGUUUCCUCUUAGCAGAAUAAGUUCAAAUAUUUCAACAAAAACCCUUUUUACCAUAAACCUUUGUUCUUAUUUAUACUAAUCCCAACUUGGAUUGGUCAUCACUAAUUUCUUUAAGCUUGACAACUCCUACUUAAAGUAAUCCAUAUGCUUUUCAAACCAUGUGGAUUAGCUUAAGUACCAUUAGAAAAUUUUCCAAAAAUUUCCUAACUCUUCAACAUCUGAUCUUAUCUCACGCUUUUCCCUCAAAAUGCCUAUCAUCCCUUACUUGCAGAUUCUUUCCUCAUGCUAAGAUCUUCAUAAUGCGACUUAUCAAAACACCUAUUUUAUAAAGAUUUCUUCCUAUAUCAAAAUCCUUUAUUUAUUGGUCAUGUUGAUGAAAAGGAACGAGAAAUGUGAGACAGCUUUUAAGCGUCAAGUAAAGCUAGUUUUGUAGUAGUGAUGACUUCCAACAUUGCGUAGAUCCUUCCACAUAUGAGUUUCAAUUGCCAUCAUUUUCUGUUUUUCUGAUAUUUUCUUUAUUGUUUUCUUUUUCUCUGCUUUGAUAUUUGCUAGUCUUUUCUCCUCUUUUUCUCUAUUUGUUUUUAAUGAUUCAAUAAGUGUUUGUUGCAAUGUUCUAACCUACAGAUGUCCACUAGAUGGAACAGGAAUGAGGGGAUGUCACUCCCUAUCCCCGUCCCUACAAAUUUCUUUUCCCUCGUCCCCAUCUGCACCCCCUAUUCCAUUCCCCAUUCCCCAUUCCCACAAAUUUUCCCAUGGGAAAAUAUUUCCCGCUUUUAUGUUUUUAUAAAUAAAUAGAAAUAAAAAUAAAUAUAGAGGUCUUUUAAAAAAAUAAAUACUUACAUUGUAUAGAAAAAUUUUGAAAAUGAAAAAAGCUCAAAGGUCCACAAUAUAAAGUACUAAAACUACUUCAGUCAAGACAUGACAAAUUGGUCACAUGUGCAUGAUACACGAUUGUGUAGAUUUUAAUACAAGAUCUUAGGCAUACCAUAUCUCAAGAUGCCCCUAGAUGAAAGAAUUAUUCCUUUAGUUAUUGUACCUCUGGCCUUAGUUGCACUGAGAUGGUCUAAAAUGUUAGAAUUCUGUCUUUAUUUUUUGAUCUUAGGCAUACAUUAUCCUGAGAUGCCUGUAUGUCUCAGGAUGAAAGACUUCUAGCUUUAGUUAUUCGAUCUCGAACAUACAUUGCCCUGAGUUGACUCAGGAUGAAGGAAUUCUUCCUUUAUUUUAUUCAAUCUCAGGCGUACAUUGUCUCAAGAUGUCUUGAGAUGAAAGACCUCUGCCUUUAAUUAUUCGAUCUUGGCCUUAAUUGCAUCAAGAUGACCUGAAAUGAAAGAGUUCUGCCUUUAUUUUAUUUGAUCUUGCCUCGAAAUGUCAUCGAAUGAAAGUUUUUUGUCUUUAGUUAUUCGAUCUCGGGCCUUAAUUGCACCGAGAUGGCCUGGGAUUAAUAGAAAUAUACAUGUGUGUGUGUGCGUUUUUUUCUUUCGAGGCAGGGUCGCGACCAGGUUCCGAGAAUGUAUUCCCCAUCCUUAGUCGUGAAUUGUUAAUAAAAAAAAAAAAAAAUCCUUAGUGCCUCUCCCAUUUUCCUCCUCGUUGUUGUACCUCUAACAAUACUUCAUUAAAAAAAAACACUAUUAAAUUUGAUGUUCCAAGAUGAGCAAUGGCUUUGUAAAAAUUGUUAGGAUCUCAACCUAACAAGAGAUACUCAAGAACACACAAACGGAACUCAAGAACAAUCAAUUAUGAAAAGCAUAUUUGAAAUAAAUGUUAUAACAUCAAAGAACAAGUAACUUGCUCUUUGCGAGGACUAGACUCUCCCAAAUCCCCCACAAGAAAAUUGAUCCACACAUAAAAUUCUUCAUACUCUUUCCCAAUCCCUCUCCUUGAUCUACAAUCCCUCUCCUUGAUCUAUUUAUACUAAAAAAGAACUAACUAACUUUCUAACUAUUUACUAAUAUAUAUGUUCCCAACUAAUAACCAUAUUAAUUUUCAACUGAAUAUUCCUUUUAUUCUUUAACUAGGGAUCUCACAUCUUCUUACCAAAUGGCUAGGUCCCUACUAGCUAACUAUAUUAAUUUACAUCAUGUAAUUUAGAAUCAUUCUUUUAGCUGCUUAGGUGAAGGAUAUUAUCGAGGCCAACUAGACUAGCUUUUUUGGGUGCUUACAAAUAUCUUAAGGUGUCAUUUCGGACUUAAAUGUAAUUUAGGCUGAAUGUGCAUUUAUAUUUAUCAAUAAUCAAACUUUAUGUCCUUAAUUCUACUUGUUGGGGAUUUUUGAACAUUCAUAAUCUAGAUAUAUAAUCGAGGCAUUACAAAACACAUGCAAUCAUGUUAUGUCAGAUCAUCAUACUCGUACCAAAGUUUAAAUACAAAUAACAAUUUUCGACUUUUGUAAGAAUGCAAGAGAUAUAUAUUGCACACUCAUGCCACUUGACAAGCGUUUCUUAACUAAUAUACUAUUUCUUAUGGAAAAUCUCUUAGCACACUCAUUUUGAGAUGUUUGCCCUCACUAGGUGUGUAAUCGGGUUGGGUUGGGAGACAUUCUCAACCCAACCCAUACUUUUGGGUUAUAUGGGUUGGCAACCCGAAUUUAGUUUCCAACUCAAUCAGUAAAAAUAUGGGUUAGGUUGGGUUAUGUUGUUUUUUUUUUUUUUCUUUCUUCGUUUCUACUUUCUAACGAAAACGAAGGUGGAUGGCACGAUUGUGAGGGAGAAGACCGAAGAGGGAGAAGAUCGACCGUCGAAAAUGGAGGUGGACAACGAGAUUGUGAGGGAGAAGACAGAUGACUGAGGUGAGAUGGAAGAGAAGAAUCGAACACAAUGAAAAAGGGUGAACAGGACGCAAGGGAAAGAAAAUUGAAGAGGGAGGAAGACCUUAAUUUUUAGAUUUUAUUUUAUUAAAUAAAUAAUAUAUAAAUAUGAAUAUAUAUACAUAUAUUAUAUUAAUUUAGGUUGGGUUGGGUUGACCCGAAUUUUUCAAUCGUCCAACCCAAGACCCAACCCAACCCGAAAAUAUUAAUUUUUUUUAAUCCAACCUAACCCUUACAAUAUGGGUUGGGUAGUACGGAUUAUCUGAAUUCAACCCAUAUUUUUACACCUCUAGUCUUCACCGUGGAUGAUCAUUUUCACCACGGUGGCUCAUUAGACCAUAGAGCAAGUUAUGGCUUAUGGCGGUAGAGAGAGCCAACACAAUGUAUUUCCCUUUAGAUCAUUUCAAGGUACAAAGUUGGUUUCAGCCCUCAAAUGUUGUGAGGAGUCACUCACUAGUGUGAAUACCACAUUUGAACUAUGAUUAAAAAAUUGAUGUGGUUGCUUUCUUCACUCAUGUGUCGUCAACUCUAGAUUCACCCGUCCAAACUUCUAACAAAACUCUGACUUUUAGGAGAGAAAUGACCCUAAGGAUAUCAGGAGGAGUGAAGAAGAAAAAGAAUAUAGAAAUGAGUAAAACAAUAAUAAACAACUAUAGAGGCAAUAGUGCAAGUAAUAAGGAAUACAUAUAUUACUUUGUACGUGACACGGAAGAAAUUAUAAAGUACUGUUGAGAGAAGCAGCCUAUUGCUAUAGUAGAAUUGAGACAUGUUACACCAAAUUCUUAUACUUAUAUUAACUAAUUUUAUCCGUGUAAAGUUAUAUAUUUGACAAAUGUGAUGUGAUAUUUGUGUGUACAUUGAGGGCAGUGCCCACUUUUCCUGAACACAUAAAUAAUGUUAAGUGAACAAUUGUAUGUAACUAGUCGUACCAUAUUAGACAUACACUUUUUAUAUUAUUAUAAGUAAAAAAAUAUCAUAAUUAAAGCUAAAUUUAACCUCUAAAUCGAAGUUUUGUGACUAAUAAAUCUCAAAUUUGUAAAUAAAUGUUAGAUAAAUAUUCUUGAUUUUUAAUUUUGUAUAUCUUUUGACGAGUACUACAACUGAACAUUUUAAACUUUGUAUAUCAUAAAUCACGAAUCAUGAUAUAAAGGAUAUAAUAUAUUUUUUUAAAGAGGUAUUUAAUGUUCCAUAUUGGUAAAUGUAUAUCAUUUUGUAACGAUGUUUAAUAAUCUCGAUAAAAAUUAGAUUUUUUUCAAUAGCUACUAUAAAUAUAUAUCUUUCUAAACGGUCUUUAAUAAUCUAAUUUCAAAGGUUACGUUCAACAAAUAUCUAUUCUUCAACUUUAUAUUUAAUAUAUUAUUCAUAAAUUAAAAAAACAAAACAAAAGCUGAAUACAGUAUGGUAUUAUUAUAGACACGUUUUUAAAGAUCAAGUGCUCUAUUAGAAGUAUUUGAACACGUUUGGAAGACUUGGAACUGAGUUUGUAAGGAAAGAAACAAAGAAAGAAGAAAAACAAAUGGCAAAGAAGAUGAUGAACGUGGAAGAAACAUAGAAAUCUCCAUAGCCAUUAAAAGCCACACCAUACAACCUUCAAAAUUCCACGUCUCAUCCAUGCAUUGCUCUCUUAUUCCUUCAAAUACUCAUCCUUUCAGCCACCACUUUUCUCCCCUACUCUCCUCUUUAAACAUUAUACUCAAGCCCAUAUAAUGAUGUCUACUAAACCACUAGUUUCCAUCCUCCUCCUUUCCCUCUUCCUCUUCGCCGUUGCUGCCUCCGACCACCAGUUCGACGAUGACAACCAAAGCCAACGCCCUUGGUUGCAAAGGUGCCGUCAGCAGGUUCUCGCCUUUCCAGUUCUCUUUUAUUUAUAGUUUCAUUUAUUCGGUUAAUUGCUAUUUUUUAUUUUUAUUUGUAUUCGUUGGGAUGAGAACAUGCAUACAAUCCACCAACUAGUUUGCUUGUGUUUUUGUUAUUUUUAAACAAAUAACUACUUUACUUUAAUAUUGUUCAAAAUUAAUUAUUUUGGUAUUUUCUAUACUUUAUUUAAAUAUAUAUUUCAUAAAUUAUUUAGAUUUCAUUUGCUAUUAAUAACUAUUUGUUUUUUUGUUUUUAUUUUUAAAAGUUAAGCUUAUCUUUUCUCCAAUUUCUUACGUUAAAAUGUUGAAUUUUUAGCUAAAUACUAAAAACCAAAACUAGCUUAGAACUUUAUAUAUUUUCUUAACUUUCAAAAAACUAAAAUGGUUUUAAAAAAUAUUGGUGAAAAAAUAAAUAAUGAAAUUAUAAAUUUAGACAUGAAAGAAAGGUUAUUAUAAAAUUUUCAAAAAAUCUAAAAACAAAAAAACUAUGACUCCUUUUUUAACUAAAUUAUAUAUAUAUAUAUAUAUAUAUAUAUAUAUAUAUAACUUUUUAAAUACCAUACUAAAGUUAUAUUGGCAAAAAUGUACAAAAAAAAAAUAUCCAACCAAUGUAAGCAAAUCCAAACGUCACUUUUCAUAUAGAACCCAAGAUUACUUAAAUCCCAAACCCAAGAUUACUUAAAUCCCAAAUUUUGAAAACUAAGAAAACACAUAAAUUUAAAAAUAAUUUUGUUUUAAGAAUUUAACUAACAAUUCUUAACUCUUUGAAAAAGAGGAAAAAUAACUUGUUAUUCACCACACAAAUGUUUUAUUUUACUUUAUGUUUACCAACAAUCAAAUGUAACACCUACCAUGUCGCUAAAAAUGUGACAGAUUCGAAGCGGCGAACGGCUGCGCCACUGUGAGAGGUUACUGACACAGCCCCGCCGCUUCCGGCUGCUGUUAGCAGCGGAGGAAGAGGAAGACGCAGUGGAACAUCUGGAGGAAUGCUGCCAGCAGCUGAAAGGGAUGGACGAUGCAUGCCGGUGCGAGGGGCUUCGUCAGAUCGUGCAGCGCCGUAGGCAGCAAGGCCAGCUGCAGGGGGUCGAUGUUGGACAAAUGCUGGAAAGAGCUACAAACUUACCGUCGGUCUGCCGUCUCAGCCGACGCCGGUGUGACCUCCGAUCAACCACUCCAUUGUAGAAUAAGAGGAAAGAAAAGAGAGAGGAGAGAGAGAGCCCAUUGAGGUUGAACAAUCUGAAAAAUGGAGUAAUAAUCAAUAAAAUAUGAAGGCUCCCCAACUUAGAGGGAGAUCUGUGUACUAAUGUUUUAAAGAAACAUCACUUAGUUUCUUUUUUUUCUUUCUUCUUUCUUUCUUUUUAUUUUUAUUUUUGGUUUAGUUUUCUUUUCUUUACCUUUUUUUCUUGGGGUUUUUGUUUUGUUCUGUGUGCUGAAAUCGAAAUAAAUCAAAAUAAGUCUUAGACUCUACUGGGAAUAAAUAUCGUUGAAUCUUAAUUAUUUAGUUUACUUCUUUUAAUUUGGUUGAAUCUUAAUUAUUUUUGUUUACUUCAUUUAAUUCAUCUCUUUCAAACUAUUUUUUCUAAUUUUAAAUAUCAAGUAACUAUUUUUUUUAAAAUCAACAUACUCGGGUUGAGUUGAGUUGGAGAACGUUUUCAACCCAACCCAUAUUUUCAAGUUGGUUGAAUU
rnacentral:lncRNA from 1 species